CUACGGGUGGCAGCAGUUAGGAAUAUUCUACAAUGCGCGCAAGCGUGAUAGAUUGAGCCAAAGUGCUUUUCAAUUGAAAAGCUUUUAUCAAAUGUAAAAAGUUUGACGAAUAAGGACUGGGUAAGACUAGUGCCAGCCGCCGCGGUAAUACUAGCGGUCCAAGUCGCAGCCAUUUUUAUUGGGUCUAAAACAUCCGUAGCUUGUUUAAUAAGUUUCUUGUGAAAUUUUGUAUCUUAAGUACAGAGCGUGCAAGAAAUACUGUUAAACUAGAGACUGGAAGACGUAAGAAGUACGUUCGGAGUAGCGGUUAAAUGUGUUAAUCCCGAAUGGACUAACAAUUAGCGAAGGCAUCUUACGAGAACAGUUCUGACAGUAAGGGAUGAAGGCUAGGGGCGCAAAUGGGAUUAGAUACCCCGGUAGUC
rnacentral:rRNA from 1 species